rnacentral:lncRNA from 1 species
CUGAUUGGCCGAUUAGACAAACGAUUUUUAAAUCUGUCAUUUGAUUGGCUGGUGCUAAUUAGAUUAUACUAUUGUCAGUUGUUGAUAUAUUUUAUAACGAACUACAAUUAUAUCCGGCCCACUAAACGGCUGAAUUUGAAUUAAAACUGCAGUAAAAUUAGAAAAUAAUCGCAAAUUAGCGAAAUAUAUUGCAAAUGUAGCUUAUAUUAAUUAAAUCGCCAUCAGAUUGCACUAUCGACU